rnacentral:rRNA from 1 species
CAGUUCGGAUUGUAGUCUGCAACUCGACUACAUGAAGCCGGAAUCGCUAGUAAUCGCGGAUCAGAAUGCCGCGGUGAAUACGUUCCCGGGUCUUGUACACACCGCCCGUCACACCAUGGGAGCCGGAAAUGCCCGAAGUCAGUGACCCAACCAAUAAGGAGGGAGCUGCCGAAGGCAGGUCUGGUGACUGGGGUGAAGUCGUAACAAGGUAGC